rnacentral:lncRNA from 1 species
AGCAACAAUAUGUCAGGAUGAUAGAAUAAAACGUAAUGGAGAAAAUAAUAUUUGAUUUAGGUAUAUCUUUGUCUAGAAUUUUAUUUGCAAAUUAAAUAUAAUUAUUUCUCAGUUACGUUCUUAAUAGUGACUAAAUAUUAACAACGAUAAAAAAACCUGCCAUAUCAAACGAUUAUCAGAGUAAAGCUGAAGUACGAAAAUAAAUACAGUAGAAAUUAUUGUAAGAUUGGGCCAUGUAAUAUUCAAAUUACAAGCUCAAACUCCUGAUUCGACCCGUCACUUCCAACAUGGGCUUCUUCUUCGGCCGAUAGUCCAUUGAACCACCACCACAAAGUUCACUAUCUCACUCCGCCGCCGCCGGCGACGAUCUGGUCGUUCCAUCUCUUUCUCCGGAGACGGCGUCUAUUUGUACGUUCACCAUCUCUCUCUAUCAUUCAUUAGGGAAAAUCUCUCAUCGUUUUCAAAUUGCUUUUUUGUUUUGUUUGUGUUUGCUUCCACUGCAUAAAGAAAGCUUUUUCUUUUUCCUCUCAAAUGGACACUUGAGUGAAUAUAGGUAUCUUAUUAGUUAUAGAAGAUAAUAAGUAGAGUAUUGUUUAUUAGAAGUAGACUGUAUGUUGAGUUUGUUUUAGUACAUUGCUUUAAUAAAAGAAUUUGUCUUUAAUUUACCGAGAUUAUUGAUUUGUUAGAGAGAAGAAUCUAAUUUUGUUUGUUGUCAGCACAUAGAUGGACUGCAGAGUCCUAUCGUUGAAUAGGUCUUGUCGCUUGGCUACCAUUCCUACACGCAAUACUGUAUUUUAUCGGAAAUGUUCUUAUCUGCCUGCAGGUAUUACUUUCAGUAGUUCCUUCUUUUGCAGUAUGUUAAUACAACAACAACAACAACAACUACCCAGUAUACUCCCACCAGGUGGGGUCUGGGGAAGG